CCCAUGUCCACAUUUUAUGGUUUAAGAUGCUUCUUUUCUUUAAAUCAUUGCAGUAUCAAACUACCUUACUUCUUAGUGAAUUAUUGUGUAUUUUCCCACACAAUUACUUUGAUUAUACAUCCGUAUAUUAUAUAUUAAUAUAUAAUAUAUGCAAUAUAUAUAUUAUAUUGCAUAUAUGCAUUAUAUUCCGUUAUAUUGCAUUAUAUAAUGCAAUAUAAUACAUAUUAUAUUGCAAUACUUAACCGACAUGGCGCCGGUUUUCUUAAAGGCUGUGACACACUGAAUGCGACGCGAAGCGAGACGGAGCGAAGCAAAGAUGACAGAAAAAUUUGCAUCCUUCGCUUCGCGUUGCACUGCCCCGCAGCCUGUCUACAUUGCAGCCGAUUUACUUUUCAUGUUUCAUGGAUUUGCCAAUAGAGGUCGUUUGCGGAGUAUGGUUGACCAGGGUGGUUGAUUUGUUAUUAGAUAGAAGUGAUCGUAUAUUUUCGAUAUUUUUUUAACCUCAUGUCAUACCUCAUGAACUUUUUUUGUAUUUCU
rnacentral:lncRNA from 1 species